AUUUUUUUUUAUUGAGCAUCUGAUGACCUGCCAUGCGAGCUCACCCGACAUAGCAAAGGCCCGUCGUGACAACACAAAACAAAUCAAACCCUCGGUGUUUGAAAGCCCUUUCGUAUCUUACAUUAAUCAAGAGAUUGGUGAGUAAACCUCAGAUUUUGAUAGAAAAAAGUCAAAUACCUUCAGAUCGUCGAAGAUCAAAGAUCUUAAUAGAGUGACGCAUAUCUCGUCAGAUCAGCACAGAUCUCCAGAGAUCACGUCCGAUCUCCACCAAUCUUGAGAUAAGUAUUUAAGAAGAACGGACGAUCUCUUCCAAUCCCGCCGCAACCUCACAGAUCUGAUCACUCACCCUCCGUCAGAGCCGCCGCCGCUACAUCCUCCGUCAGAUCUGAUCACUCACCCUCCAUCAGAGCCGCCGU
rnacentral:misc_RNA from 1 species